CAAUAGCGUAUAUUAAAGUUGCUGCAGUUAAAAAGCUCGUAGUUGGAUCUUGGGAGCGGGCGGGCGGUCCGCCGCGAGGCGAGCCACCGCCCGUCCCCGCCCCUUGCCUCUCGGCGCCCCCUCGAUGCUCUUAGCUGAGUGUCCCGCGGGGCCCGAAGCGUUUACUUUGAAAAAAUUAGAGUGUUCAAAGCAGGCCCGAGCCGCCUGGAUACCGCAGCUAGGAAUAAUGGAAUAGGACCGCGGUUCUAUUUUGUUGGUUUUCGGAACUGAGGCCAUGAUUAAGAGGGACGGCCGGGGGCAUUCGUAUUGCGCCGCUAGAGGUGAAAUUCUUGGACCGGCGCAAGACGGACCAGAGCGAAAGCAUUUGCCAAGAAUGUUUUCAUUAA
rnacentral:rRNA from 1 species